UACGGAGGGUGCAAGCGUUAUCCGGAUUCACUGGGUUUAAAGGGUGCGUAGGUGGGUUUGUAAGUCAGUGGUGAAAUCUCCGGGCUUAACCCGGAAACUGCCAUUGAUACUAUAGGUCUUGAAUAUCCUGGAGGUGAGCGGAAUAUGUCAUGUAGCGGUGAAAUGCUUAGAUAUGACAUAGAACACCAAUUGCGAAGGCAGCUCACUACGGGAUUAUUGACACUGAGGCACGAAAGCGUGGGGAUCAAACAGGA
rnacentral:rRNA from 1 species